rnacentral:rRNA from 1 species
AGUGAACGCUGGCGGCGUGCCUAAUACAUGCAAGUCGAACGGAGUGGCGCACGGGUGAGUCAUAUAUAGCUAAUCUGCCCCUUGCUGGAGGACCACAGUUAGAAAUGACUGCUAAUACUCCAUAGAAAGGGAUGAGACUAUAUCGUAUCAGCUAGUCGGUGGGGUAACGGCCGACCGAGGCUAUGACGUGUAACUGGUCUGAGAGGAUGAUCAGUGAAAUUGGAAGUGAGACACGGGCCAGACAGCUACGGAAGUGGGCGGUAGGGAACAUUGCGCAAUGGGGGACAGCCUGACACAGCAACGCCGCGUGGAGGAUGGCACUUUUGGGAGAGUAAACGCAUUUUGUUAGGGAGGCGGUACCUAACGAAUAAGCACCGGCUAACUCCGUGCCAGCAGCCGCGGUAAUUC